rnacentral:rRNA from 1 species
AUACGUAGGUGGCAAGCGUUGUCCGGAAUUACUGGGCGUAAAGGGCGUGUAGGCGGGGAGGCAAGUCAGAUGUGAAAUUCCGGGGCUUAACCCCGGCGCUGCAUCUGAAACUGUUUCUCUUGAGUGCUGGAGAGGAAAGUGGAAUUCCCAGUGUAGCGGUGAAAUGCGUAGAGAUUGGGAGGAACACCAGUGGCGAAGGCGGCUUUCUGGACAGUAACUGACGCUGAGGCGCGAAAGCGUGGGGAGCAAACAGGAUUAGAUACCCUGGUAGUCCACGCUGUAAACGAUGGAUACUAGGUGUAGGAGGUAUCGACCCCUUCUGUGCCGGAGUUAACACAAUAAGUAUCCCGCCUGGGGAGUACGGCCGCAAGGUUGAA